rnacentral:tRNA from 1 species
GGGGGCGUAGUUCAAUGGUAGAAUGCUCGUCUCCAAAACGAGCGACGUAGGUUCGAUUCCUACCGCCCCUGCCA